CUGGCUCAGGAUGAACGCUGGCGGCGUGCCUAACACAUGCAAGUCGAGCGGACGAAUAUCAAUGAAGCCUUCGGGUGGAUUUGAUAUGAGUUAGCGGCGGACGGGUGAGUAACGCGUGGGCAACCUGCCCUAUACAGGAGGAUAACAACGAGAAAUCGUUGCUAAUACUGCAUAAGACCCCAGUAAGGCAUCUUACUGAGGUAAAAACUCCGGUGGUAUAGGAUGGGCCCGCGUCUGAUUAGCUAGUUGGUAAGGUAAUGGCUUACCAAGGCGACGAUCAGUAGCCGACCUGAGAGGGUGAUCGGCCACAUUGGGACUGAGACACGGCCCAAACUCCUACGGGAGGCAGCAGUGGGGAAUAUUGCACAAUGGGGGAAACCCUGAUGCAGCAACGCCGCGUGAAGGAAGAAGGUCUUCGGAUUGUAAACUUCUAUCAGCAGGGAAGAUAAUGACGGUACCUGACUAAGAAGCCCCGGCUAACUACGUGCCAGCAGCCGCGGUAAUACGUAGGGGGCAAGCGUUAUCCGGAAUUACUGGGUGUAAAGGGUGCGUAGGCGGCUAUGCAAGUCAGAUGUGAAAGCCCAGGGCUCAACCCUGGGACUGCAUUUGAAACUGUGUAGCUAGAGUGCAGGAGAGGUAAGUGGAAUUCCUAGUGUAGCGGUGAAAUGCGUAGAUAUUAGGAGGAACACCAGUGGCGAAGGCGGCUUACUGGACUGUAACUGACGCUGAGGCACGAAAGCGUGGGGAGCGAACAGGAUUAGAUACCCUGGUAGUCCACGCCGUAAACGAUGAGUGCUAGGUGUCGGGGGUCGACAGACCUUCGGUGCCGAAGUUAACACAUUAAGCACUCCACCUGGGGAGUACGAUCGCAAGAUUGAAACUCAAAGGAAUUGACGGGGGCCCGCACAAGCAGUGGAGCAUGUGGUUUAAUUCGAAGCAACGCGAAGAACCUUACCAAGUCUUGACAUCCCUCUGACCCGGUCCGUAACGGGACCUUCUCUUCGGAGCAGAGGUGACAGGUGGUGCAUGGUUGUCGUCAGCUCGUGUCGUGAGAUGUUGGGUUAAGUCCCGCAACGAGCGCAACCCUUAUCUUUAGUAGCCAGCAAUUCGGUUGGGGACUCUAGAGAGACUGCCGGGGAUAACUCGGAGGAAGGUGGGGAUGACGUCAAAUCAUCAUGCCCCUUAUGACUUGGGCUACACACGUGCUACAAUGGUGACGACAAAGGGAAGCGAAGGAGUGAUCUGGAGCCAACCCCAAAAAAGUCAUCUCAGUUCGGAUUGUAGUCUGCAACUCGACUACAUGAAGCUGGAAUUGCUAGUAAUCGCGAAUCAGAAUGUCGCGGUGAAUACGUUCCCGGGCCUUGUACACACCGCCCGUCACACCAUGGGAGUCGGAAGCGCCCGAAGCCGGUGACUCAACCGCAAGGAGAGAGCCGUCGAAGGUGAAGUCGAUGACUGGGGUGAAGUCGUAACA
rnacentral:rRNA from 1 species